CCCGCUGAACUUAAGCAUAUCAAUAAGCGGAGGAAAAGAAACUAACAAGGAUUCCCCUAGUAACGGCGAGUGAAGCGGGAUGAGCUCAAAUUUAAAAUCUGGUAGUCUUCUGGCUACCCGAGUUGUAAUCUAGAGAAGUGUUUUCUGUGCUGGACUGUGUACAAGUUUCCUGGAUACGGAACAUCAUAGAGGGUGAGAAUCCCGUCCUUGACACAGGCCCCCAGUGCUUUGUGAUGCACUCUCGACGAGUCGAGUUGUUUGGGAUUGCAGCUCAAAAUGGGAGGUAAAUUCCUUCUAAAGCUAAAUAUUGGCGAGAGACCGAUAGCGAACAAGUACCGUGAGGGAAAGAUGAAAAGCACUUUGGAAAGAGAGUUAAACAGUACGUGAAAUUGUUGAAAGGGAAGCGCUUGCAACCAGACUUGCGCGCGGCCGAUCAUCCGGUGUUCUCACCGGUGCACUCGGCCGUGCUCAGGCCAGCAUCGGUUUUGGCGGCUGGAUAAAGGCCCCAGGAAUGUGGCUCCUCUCGGGGAGUGUUAUAGCCUGGGGUGCAAUGCAGCCUGCUGGGACCGAGGACCGCGCUUCGGCUAGGAUGCUGGCGUAAUGGUUGUAAGCGGCCCGUCUUGAAACACGG
rnacentral:rRNA from 1 species